AACGGACACUGCGCGAGAGGGCGAAGACGUCUCUUCGGGAAUUUGGCGCCUUUCUGGGAUCAGUCGUGACUAUAUCCGGCUGAAAAAUAAAGAAAUAAAAUAAAAACAGUCCGCGAAGCCAUCGGAUUUAAGCGACCGCUCUCUGGAACAAGUGAGCACAGCACAUGUGAAGUUAAAAUGUCCUGGGUGUCUUUGUUUGAAAAAAAAAAACAACAACCACCAUUUCUUGGAUAUAACAACAGCUAAGGCGAAAUCUGAGAACAAACUCAAGUACAGCACCGCACUCCGGUCGCUGAGGCAAAUAAUGACUAUAAUGCAAACUACUCAUCCACACAACUGCCUGAGGUUGGCACCUUUGAACCUGACUUGACUAUAGGAAGAGCUUCCAGAGCUCUGCGGGUGCCGAACACACAGCUCCCGGAGCAGCAAGAAAGGAACAGAGGAGCAUGAAAAUGGAUGGAGAUGGAUGGAGACGGCACCCCAGACUCCAUCAGGCCUGCUGUGACCACAGCAACACACAGCCUCUGAGAGACCUCUCCUCUGAGACUGAGGCGCACUGCCCAACUGGGUUAUGAAAGCUCUCUAAACAGGCAAUGUUCACAUUUCCCAUUCCUGAUAUGUGACAGCUUAAUUGAGGGUGGCAUGGUGGCUCUGUGGUUAGCAUUGUUACCUUACACCACUAGAGCCCUGGGUUCAGUUCCA